GCCAGGGUGGUGUAGUGGUCACUGCAUCUGCCUAGCAAGCAGAAGACCUGGGUUCAAAUCCCAGCCUUGCUGCA